GCUGGGCAUGGUGGUGCAUGCCUGUAAUCCCAGCUACUCAGGAGGCUGAGGUGGGAGAAUUGCUUGAACCUGGGAGGCGGAGGCUGCAGUGAGCCGAGAUCGCGCCACUGCACUCCACCCUGGGUGACAGAGCAAGACUCUGUCUCAA
rnacentral:sRNA from 1 species